AAAAAGGUGAGACUAGUUAGUAAGACGCACCCACGGAAGUAAGGAGGAAAAAUAUAGCUCUUAAAGGAUAAUUUAAGCACCUAGCCAGAACGGGAACAAGCUCUUACGUUGUUUCAAGAAGAAAGGUUGUAAUGAAAGGAAAGUAGAUUUGUGUUUAACCAAGGCUGACGGCUGAACAUAAAUAAAGGCUUCUGGAAACAUCAGUACGGUUCACCAUUGCCUGGCUGGGGGUUUGCUACACAAGUCUACACAGGAAAACCUCCUGGAGGUGCAUCAGACAACUUUUUUUACUUCAUGUGCACUAGGAGAAGAACUGCUGAAAAGAACUUAGGUGCAUUCCAGUGUGUGCCCUUGGGUUAUGUUCACAUGCAAGGGGCCUUUUGAUGAUAAUUGUCUUGGGAUUCAGAGAGCGUCGAGAGAGACUCUGUACUCAUGUAUUGCAUAUAUAUUAUGUAUAUAUUGUAAGUAAAUCAAAAUCAAAUAAUUUACAAGCUUUUAACUUCAUGAGGUGCAAUGGCAAGGUAUCAUAACACCGGAGACGUCCUUGGUGAAUCUGCCUCUGGCUGGACAUUCCUUUACAGUCCUUUUUAAAGUCCAUCAACUUUUGACAUGUUCAGAAAUCCCCUCCUGGAAACUCCCUCUGCAUACAUUCAGUCUUUUACAGCCAAUUGGUCAAACAUAAAAUCUUGAACUGUCAUUAUUUCUGGAAGACCCCUUAGGACUUUUGCAUAUAAAACUCUUUGUCUCUUUGUCCUCUUUUUCUGGACCUUUCCAUCAUCGCUGUAUCUUCUGUAUCUCGUCCGCAACACAUAGACGGUAAUGAUGGCAUUUUUCUCCUUUCUUUUGCAAAGCUCUUUCUAAUACAUUUUCAACUCCUCUCUACUCUGCCACCAUCAUCUGCUUAAUAAAUGCUUACAACAUUCAGUGUAGUAUGUUUUUCUUUAUAAACCAUUUUCAUAAUAAAAAUCUUUAUAAAACAAGUUGAGGUGUUUUUCUUAAUAAACUAUUUUCUCA